ensembl:lncRNA
GGGUCUCUCUCUCUCUCUCUGUGUGUUUGUAGUCUCUCGAUGGAGAGGGGUCAUUUAGCUGGAGGGGGUCUCUCUCUCUCUCUGUGUGUUUGUAGUCUCUCGAUGGAGAGGGGUCAUUUAGCUGGAGGGGGUCUCUCUCUCUCUGUGUGUUUGUAGUCUCUCGAUGGAGAGGGGUCAUUUAGCUGGAGGGGGUCUCUCUCUCUCUCUGUGUGUUUGUAGUCUCUCGAUGGAGAGGGGUCAUUUAGCUGGAGGGGGGGUCUCUCUCUCUCUGUGUGUUUGUAGUCUCUCGAUGGAGAGGGGUCAUUUAGCUGGAGGGGGUCUCUCUCUCUGUCUCUCUCUCUGUGUGUUUGUAGUCUCUCGAUGGAGAGGGGUCAUU